CGAUUCGGAAUAUAACAGUUGUUAUCCAUUUGUUUGAUUUUGCCGUUUUAUUUCGGACUUUCCAUUUUUUAAUUUCCUUGGAGUCGGUUUUUUUUUUAGGUUAUUUUACUUUUUAUUAGCACUUUCUUUAAUCUUUUGCUUAACUCAUGUAUUAAAUAAUUGUUUUCCUGCAAAAUUUUAAUAAUUUAAAUAUACAUUUUUGUCUCUUUUUUUACUCCUUUUCUCCUUUCUCCUACCCCUUCUCUACUUUCUCCCGCCCCCUCUCUCCUUUCU
rnacentral:lncRNA from 1 species